rnacentral:rRNA from 1 species
ACGGAGGAUGCAAGCGUUAUCCGGAUUUAUUGGGUUUAAAGGGUGCGCAGGCGGGCUUGUAAGUCAGUGGUGAAAUACUGCCGCUCAACGGUAGGGUUGCCAUUGAUACUGCAAGUCUUGAGUAUGGUUGAGGCAGGCGGAAUGUGCGGUGUAGGGGUGAAAUGUUUAGAUUUUGUACGGACCGCCGAUGGCGAGGGCAGCGUCCCAAGCCAUUACUGACGCUGAGGCACGAAAGCGUGGGGAUCGAACAG